rnacentral:rRNA from 1 species
GACGAACGCUGGCGGCGUGCUUAACACAUGCAAGUCGAACGGAAAGGCCCUGCUUUUGUGGGGUGCUCGAGUGGCGAACGGGUGAGUAACACGUGAGUAACCUGCCCUUGACUUUGGGAUAACUUCAGGAAACUGGGGCUAAUACCGGAUAGGAGCUCCUGCUGCAUGGGGGGGGUUGGAAAGUUUCGGCGGUUGGGGAUGGACUCGCGGCUUAUCAGCUUGUUGGGGGGGUAGGGGCUUACCAAGGCUUUGACGGGUAGCCGGCCUGAGAGGGUGACCGGCCACAUUGGGACUGAGAUACGGCCCAGACUGCUACGGGAGGCAGCAGUGGGGAAUAUUGCACAAUGGGCGGAAGCCUGAUGCAGCAACGCCGCGUGCGGGAUGACGGCCUUCGGGUUGUAAACCGCUUUCUCCUGUGACGAAGCGUGAGUGACGGUAAUGGGUAAAGAAGCACCGGCUAACUACGUG